GCCUGUAGCUCAGUGGGUAGGGUGUUGGCCCCAUAUACCAAGGGUGGUGGGUUCAAACCCACCCUGGCA
rnacentral:tRNA from 1 species